GCCCAGAUGGUGAAGUGGUAACAUAUCAGUCUGCAAAACUGACAUUCGCCGGUUCGAAUCCGGCUCUGGGCU
rnacentral:tRNA from 1 species